rnacentral:rRNA from 1 species
GAUGAACGCUGGCGGCGUGCUUAACACAUGCAAGUCGAACGAUGAAGCCCAGCUUGCUGGGUGGAUUAGUGGCGAACGGGUGAGUAACACGUGAGUAACCUGCCCUUAACUCUGGGAUAAGCCUGGGAAACUGGGUCUAAUACCGGAUAGGAGCGUCCACCGCAUGGUGGGUGUUGGAAAGAUUUAUCGGUUUUGGAUGGACUCGCGGCCUAUCAGCUUGUUGGUGAGGUAAUGGCUCACCAAGGCGACGACGGGUAGCCGGCCUGAGAAGGUGACCGGCCACACUGGGACUGAGACACGGCCCAGACUCCUACGGGAGGCAGCAGUGGGGAAUAUUGCACAAUGGGCGAAAGCCUGAUGCAGCGACGCCGCGUGAGGGAUGACGGCCUUCGGGUUGUAAACCUCUUUCAGUAGGGAAGAAGCGAAAGUGACGGUACCUGCAGAAGAAGCACCGGCUAACUACGUG